rnacentral:rRNA from 1 species
AGCUUGCUCCUGAAUUCAGCGGCGGACGGGUGAGUAAUGCCUAGGAAUCUGCCUGGUAGUGGGGGACAACGUUUCGAAAGGAACGCUAAUACCGCAUACGUCCUACGGGAGAAAGCAGGGGACCUUCGGGCCUUGCGCUAUCAGAUGAGCCUAGGUCGGAUUAGCUAGUUGGUGAGGUAAUGGCUCACCAAGGCGACGAUCCGUAACUGGUCUGAGAGGAUGAUCAGUCACACUGGAACUGAGACACGGUCCAGACUCCUACGGGAGGCAGCAGUGGGGAAUAUUGGACAAUGGGCGAAAGCCUGAUCCAGCCAUGCCGCGUGUGUGAAGAAGGUCUUCGGAUUGUAAAGCACUUUAAGUUGGGAGGAAGGGCAGUAAAUUAAUACUUUGCUGUUUUGACGUUACCGACAGAAUAAGCACCGGCUAACUCUGUGCCAGCAGCCGCGGUAAUACAGAGGGUGCAAGCGUUAAUCGGAAUUACUGGGCGUAAAGCGCGCGUAGGUGGUUUGUUAAGUUGGAUGUGAAAGCCCCGGGCUCAACCUGGGAACUGCAUUCAAAACUGA